UACAGACGGUCCCAAGCGUUGUUCGGAUUCAUUGGGCGUAAAGGGUGCGUAGGCGGCGCGGUAAGUCGGGUGUGAAAUCUCGGGGCUUAACUCCGAAACUGCAUUCGAUACUGCCGUGCUUGAGGACUGGAGAGGAGACUGGAAUUUACGGUGUAGCGGUGAAAUGCGUAGAUAUCGUAAGGAAGACCAGUGGCGAAGGCGGGUCUCGUGGACAGUUCCUGACGCUGAGGCACGAAGGCCAGGGGAGCAAACGGG
rnacentral:rRNA from 1 species